CCUACGGGGAGCAGCAGUGGGGAAUAUUGGGCAAUGGGCGCAAGCCUGACCCAGCAACGCCGCGUGAAGGAAGAAGGCUUUCGGGUUGUAAACUUCUUUUGUCAGGGAAGAGUAGAAGACGGUACCUGACGAAUAAGCCACGGCUAACUACGUGCCAGCAGCCGCGGUAAUACGUAGGUGGCAAGCGUUGUCCGGAUUUACUGGGUGUAAAGGGCGUGUAGCCGGGUUGACAAGUCAGAUGUGAAAUCCUGCGGCUUAACCGCAGAACUGCAUUUGAAACUGUUGAUCUUGAGUACUGGAGAGGCAGACGGAAUUACUAGUGUAGCGGUGAAAUGCGUAGAUAUUAGGAGGAACACCAGUGGCGAAAGCGGUCUGCUGGACAGCAACUGACGGUGAGGCGCGAAAGCGUGGGGAGCAAACAGGAUUAGAUACCCGGGUAGUC
rnacentral:rRNA from 1 species